AGUGAACGCUGGCGGUAGGCCUAACACAUGCAAGUCGAACGGCAGCACAGUAAGAGCUUGCUCUUACGGGUGGCGAGUGACGGACGGGUGAGGAAUACAUCGGAAUCUACUUUUUCGUGGGGGAUAACGUAGGGAAACUUACGCUAAUACCGCAUACGACCUACGGGUGAAAGCAGGGGAUCUUCGGACCUUGCGCGAUUGAAUGAGCCGAUGUCGGAUUAGCUAGUUGGCGGGGUAAAGGCCCACCAAGGCGACGAUCCGUAGCUGGUCUGAGAGGAUGAUCAGCCACACUGGAACUGAGACACGGUCCAGACUCCUACGGGAGGCAGCAGUGGGGAAUAUUGGACAAUGGGCGCAAGCCUGAUCCAGCCAUAACGCGUGGGUGAAGAAGGCCUUCGGGUUGUAAAGCCCUUUUGUUGGGAAAGAAAAGCAGCAGGUUAAUACCCCGCUGUUCUGACGGUACCCAAAGAAUAAGCACCGGCUAACUUCGUG
rnacentral:rRNA from 1 species